CACUAGGAAGCUAAAAUACUGGACCAAGCGUUGGCCUUUUAAGCCAAAGUUGGUGAUUACCGACCACCCCUAGUGA
rnacentral:tRNA from 2 species